rnacentral:lncRNA from 1 species
AUGUGGAAAAACGAUCUGAAUCUAGGAAGAAGCCUGAGAGAUGGGCUGGCUUCAGAGAUCUCUGACUCUGUAAUGCUGAGCUUUACCAGCACUUAUGCUGUCAUGUCCAUGGGGUCCGUUUCCAAGACUGUUCUGUGGAACGUUCCCCCCGUUACCAAGGGAGGACUCCCAGCCGUGGACGUGUGGAUUUUCUCAGAACUCACCAGGCAUGCUAAUCCCACACCACUGCCUGUGGCCCUGAGGAGGGUUGUGGUGGCAGCAAGGCUUCGGGCUUGGUGGAAAGGUCCUUUGGAGCCACCACAGAAAUGAGGUGGAGCUGCCUUCAGCUUCCCAGCAGGCCAUGGGCUACUGGGGGACAGGCCUGUUUCUUCUCCCGCAGCAGGAGGCACAUGAGAGAGAACUGUGUGUGCCUUGGAUGGCUGGAGCCCUGUCAGCCAAAUGGGGGCAGCUGGUUCCUCUUUCGCUUGCUCCUUCUCUUACCAUCAGGAUGGAUGGUGCUUAACUGUCAUGUAUUUUUUAAUGUAAGAAAUAAAACAUUACAGAUAGCAUGGUCCUUCCAUUGGCCCUUCCCCAGUUCUCCUCUCCUUGUAAGAUAAUCUCUACUAUAAAUUUGGUAUCUUUCUGUUCUAUUAACAAUUAUAGGUACCUUUAAAUAAAUAUAUAUAUUUUUAUGAAUGAAAUUUAUAAAAUAUGUAUUCUACUGACUGUUCAUUUAUUUAUUUUUUAUUUUUUUAUUUUUUUGGUUUUUUUCCAGUCCCGAGAAUCGAACUCAUGACCUUGUGCUUGCGAGGCAGGUGCUGUGCCGCUGAGC